GAUGAACGCUGGCGGCGUGCCUAAUACAUGCAAGUCGAGCGAACGGACGAGAAGCUUGCUUCUCUGAUGUUAGCGGCGGACGGGUGAGUAACACGUGGAUAACCUACCUAUAAGACUGGGAUAACUUCGGGAAACCGGAGCUAAUACCGGAUAAUAUUUUGAACCGCAUGGUUCAAAAGUGAAAGACGGUCUUGCUGUCACUUAUAGAUGGAUCCGCGCUGCAUUAGCUAGUUGGUAAGGUAACGGCUUACCAAGGCAACGAUGCAUAGCCGACCUGAGAGGGGGAUCGGCCACACUGGAACUGAGACACGGUCCAUACUCCUACGGGAGGCAGCAGUAGGGAAUCUUCCGCAGUGGGCGAAAGCCUGACGGAGCAACGCCGCGUGAGUGAUGAAGGUCUUCGGAUCGUAAAACUCUGUUAUUAGGGAAGAACAUAUGUGUAAGUAACUGUGCACAUCUUGACGGUACCUAAUCAGAAAGCCACGGCUAACUACGUG
rnacentral:rRNA from 1 species